rnacentral:rRNA from 1 species
GGAUCAAAUUGUUGGUCGUGCUUCGGUACGCACUGGCAUUAUUGGUUCCUACCUUCUGAAGAACCGCGAUGUCAUUAAUUUGGUGUCGUGGGGAAUCAGGACUGUUACUUUGAAAAAAUUAGAGUGUUUAAAGCAGGCGUACGCUUGAAUACAUUAGCAUGGAAUAAUGAAAUAGGACGUUUGAUUCUAUUUUGUUGGUUUCUAGGAUCGACGUAAUGAUUAAUAGGGAUAGUUGGG